AUUGAACGCUGGCGGCAUGCCUUACACAUGCAAGUCGAACGGCAGCGGGCCUUCGGGUGCCGGCGAGUGGCGAACGGGUGAGUAAUGCAUCGGAACGUGCCAUUGAGUGGGGGAUAACGUAGCGAAAGUUACGCUAAUACCGCAUAUUCUGUGAGCAGGAAAGCAGGGGACCGCAAGGCCUUGCGCUCUUUGAGCGGCCGAUGUCAGAUUAGCUAGUUGGUGAGGUAAAGGCUUACCAAGGCGACGAUCUGUAGCGGGUCUGAGAGGAUGAUCCGCCACACUGGAACUGAGACACGGUCCAGACUCCUACGGGAGGCAGCAGUGGGGAAUUUUGGACAAUGGGCGCAACCCUGAUCCAGCCAUGCCGCGUGAGUGAAGAAGGCC
rnacentral:rRNA from 1 species